AACGAACGCUGGCGGCAUGCCUAACACAUGCAAGUCGAACGAUUGCCUUCGGGUGAUAGUGGCGCACGGGUGCGUAACGCGUGGGAAUCUGCCCUUAGGUUCGGAAUAACAGCUGGAAACGGCUGCUAAUACCGGAUGAUAUCGCGAGAUCAAAGAUUUAUCGCCUGAGGAUGAGCCCGCGUUGGAUUAGGUAGUUGGUGGGGUAAAGGCCUACCAAGCCGACGAUCCAUAGCUGGUCUGAGAGGAUGAGCAGCCACACUGGGACUGAGACACGGCCCAGAAUCCUACGGGAGGCAGCAGUGGGGAAUAGUGGACAAUGGGCGCAAGCCUGAUCCAGCAAUGCCGCGUGAGUGAUGAAGGCCCUAGGGUUGUAAAGCUCUUUUACCCGGGAAGAUAAUGACUGUACCGGGAGAAUAAGCCCCGGCUAACUCCGUG
rnacentral:rRNA from 1 species